rnacentral:rRNA from 1 species
UACGUAGGGGGCGAGCGUUGUCCGAAGUUACUGGGCGUAAAGCGCGCGUAGGCGGUCCUCUAAGUCCGAGGUGAAAGGUUCGGCGCUCAACGUGAACAGUGCCUUGGAGACUGGGGGACUUGAGUGUGGGAGGGGGCGGUGGAAUUCCAGGUGUAGCGGUGAAAUGCGUAGAUAUCUGGAGGAACACCGAUGGCGAAGGCAGCUGCCUGGCCCAGAACUGACGCUGAGGUGCGAAAGCGUGGGGAGCGAAUGGG